GGGGAAGGAGGCGCUGACCCGGGUCCUUCCUCGGGCGGGAGCUCUGCCAGGCUGCAGGACCGGGAGCCGUCCCAGAGUCCGCCCGAGCAGGGCAGAGGCCGAGCCUCGGAUGCGGGUCUCCGCUGCGGCGGGUGGGCUCUCGCCCAGCCGCUCCCCAUUUGUUGUGCAGCGAGGCCGGGGCGCCUCCGCCGAGACCUGCGUUCCGAGCCUCACGGAAGAGAGGGGAACUCGCCGCGGUGGAACAGCUAACACCGAGACCCUGGGGUCCUAGCAGAGGCCCUCCGGUGGCCCGUGCCACCCCGGGCGGGCGAGCUCAACGGAGCAGGGCUUGGCAGGGGCAGAGGCGGGGAUGAGCCGGGCCUCUGCGCCCCCGCGGCCCACAGCUGCCUCCCUGUCUGAAUUCCAACGCCCACUGAGCUCCCCGGGCUUCGGGGUGCCCCGUCUCGAGCCCCGCUUGCUGCCCCAGGCGGAGAAGGCACUCUCUUCCCUGCUCUGUUUCUCGCUGAAGGCAGCCUCUGCUGUUUCCGGCCACAGCUGGAGCUGUUUACCAUCUUCCAACUCUCACGAAGAAAGGAAAAACUAUCACUUAGACAGAGCCAUUGAAAACUCAGCAUCGUACGUGGAUUUCUUCACGUGAAUAAAUCACACGAAGCGAGACUCGUGUUCUCCGAGUGACGUCAUCCGCUGAAGGCCGCCUCCCCCGUCAGAUCAGCGUUGGGUGCUUUCCUCCUCGUGUGGGCGCCCUUUCCGCAAGACCAGGGCCCGGCCUCGGGCUCGGCCCGGGACGCCGGAAAGGUCUCUGCCUGGGUCAGCCCGGCACGACCGGGUCCAGAGGGCGAAAACAGUUCCAACUCCACAGACUGCUCGGAAGCUCUGCUUUGGAACCACAGGUUCUGAGGUUGAAAGGCCGUGAACGCGUCCAGAAGAAACGUGUGCAGCGCCCAGCGGGAGGUGAGGGCCCUUUGGGUCCUUCCGGAGCCGACGGUGACGCUGGCUGCGGCGUCAUCCCCUUGAAAUGAACGAGGAACCGGAAAAUCACCGGGAAGGCGUCCAGGAGAUGUGGCGUAUUUGGCCACGAGAAGGGACAAAGUCCUGACACGCGCCACAACGCGUGUGACCUCGGAAACAUUAUUCUCGGUGAAAGAAACUAGUCACGAGGCCACGUGUUGUCUGGGUCCAUUUACAAGAAGUGUCUAGGACAGGAAAGUCCGCAGAGACAGAAGGUGGAGGGGUGGCUGACAGGGGCUGGGGGAGGAGUAGGGGGGGUGACUGUUGACGGACGUGGGUCUCCUUCUGCUGGGUGAGGACCGUGUUCUGGAACCGGCUGGCUGUACUCAAUGCUAUCACACCGUUCGCUGUAAGACGGUAAAUGUUACGCUGUGUGGACUGGAUCUCACUACAUCCGUUGUUUUGCAAAGUCACCGCUGAGCCUGCACGUUGCAAACCUCCGCGCCCAUCUCGAAACCCUUGUUAAAUUCGGGACCGAGCACACGGCAGGCAGGGCGGGUGACGGGGGUGUGCUCCCCGUGAAGGGAUCCGCGAGUGCUGGCCCGGCACCUCGGUGAAGCCCAAAGCCACGGCCCCUUUCCUCGGGGCUGGCUGUGCGGCCCCCUCCCCUCAGUCUGUCUCCUUCCCACCGGCCCGGAGGGAACCCCUACCCGGCAUUUUGCGUUAACCGUCUCCUUGCCUCAGUUUACGGCGUCUUCACCCAACACAGGUGCAGAGUCGAGCUGUGGUGUCCGUUCAGCAUGAAAAUGAGUGAGACGCAUUAAAAUCACCAUAAAAGGGCAGGGGAGGCGUGAUCCGUCCACACCACGGAUUAUCGUUCGGCCACUGAAAAGGGCACUGGCGUAGCUAUGACACGAUGAACCUCGCAGACGUGAUGCGCGGCACGAGAAGCCGGUCGCAAAAAGCCACGGGUCCCACGACUCUAUAUGACGUGCCCAGAGGGGCGCCCGGGUGGGUCAAGUCGGUUAAGCAUCUGACUCUCGACUUGGGCUCAGGUCAUGAUCUCACGGUUUCGGGAGAUCGAGCCCUGUGUCGGGAUCUGUGGUGACGGCACGGAGCCUGCUUGGGAUUCUCCCUCUCCCUCUCCCUCUCCCUCUCCCUCUCCCUCUCUCUCUCUCUCUCUCUCCGCCCCUCUUCCCACCCACCCCUCAAAAUAAAUAAAUAAACGUAUUAUACCA
rnacentral:lncRNA from 1 species